rnacentral:lncRNA from 1 species
UGCAUACACAUAAAUAAAAAUAAAAGUGCAUCAAACAAGUUUAAGUAUUACAUAAUUAGAAUUAUAAACAAAAACACAACUAUCUCAUAAAAGAAAUUAAAUAUUCUAAUUCAUUCAAGUAUCAUUGUCUUCAUUAGAUCCUAAAUUGACAUUGACGGUCAGUGAUGUACUUUGAGUGUAACUAUCUAUAUAUUCUUAAGGAAAAGAGUCCAAAUUAAGACUUUCAUCAAUAGUAACAUUUCGU